AAGAGGUAGCUAUUAUGGAAAGUGUUAUUUUUACGAAAUAAUGAAAGCUGUUCGAAUCAGUUUCUCUUC
rnacentral:tRNA from 1 species